rnacentral:rRNA from 1 species
GAAUAUUGGACAAUGGGGGGAACCCUGAUCCAGCCAUUCCGCGUGUGUGAAGUAGGCCUUUUGGUUGUAAAGCACUUUAAGCGAGGAGGCUGAUCUCUUGGUUAAUACCCAAGAUGCUUGGACGUUACUCGCAUAAUAAGCAUCGGCUCACUCUGUUCCAGACGCCGCGGGAAUACAGAGGGUGCAAGCGUUAAGCGGAUUUACUGGGCGUAAAGCGCGCGUAGGUGGCCAAUUAAGUCAAAUGUGAAAUCCCCGAGCUUAACUUGGGAAUUGCAUUCGAUACUGGUUGGCUAGAGUAUGGGAGAGGAUGGUAGAAUUCCAGGUGUAGCGGUGAAAUGCGUAGAGAUCUGGAGGAAUACCGAUGGCGAAGGCAGCCAUCUGGCCUAAUACUGACACUGAGGUGCGAAAGCAUGGGGAGCAAACA